UUCUCCUGCGUGUGUCAGGAGGGUGAACUUAGAGCUGCUGUUUUUCCGAUUGUAUCUUGUCACAAGCACCACUGUGUGAUUAUAGUUUGUUUUCCCUGCAUCUUCCUUUAAGACCUUCAUGAAAAUUACAGGGAAACCAGAAAGCAUUUAGGGUCAUUGAAAUGGGCACCCACUGGCACUGCGGUCCUCUGAAAUCAUCACGGCUCCCGUAUCUGCAGCUUCCUGCCAGGACCUUAAGGGCUGACUGAAGAGUUUUCCUGUCAUGUUAAGUCCUGCCAUCAUCCUGGACACCUCCAAGG